GGGUGCUAGCUCACUGAUCGGCAAACAAAAACUCAUCCUAUUUUCUCUCUUGCUUCCCAUUUUUCUUAGUGGGCGUGGCUUCGAUGGCGUAUCCGCGUGGAGGUGGGCGGAGCCGAGUUAGAGGUUUUCAAAAAUGAUAAUGGGAAAGAAUAAAAAAAAACAAGAAAAAUAAAAGAUAAGAAG